AUGAUCCAAACUCAAUGUAACAACCUCUAUAUAUAGCGUAAAACAAACACUGAAUUUUCAUAACAACUUCAUUUCUUUUAUUCUUACCAAUAUCCUCUUCAUCAAUCUCAUUGUAACAUGCUGGAAAUUCUUCCACAUGGACUGGUUCACGAUCUACACACCGAUGGUUAAUUUUCCAUGGGCUGAAGUUCCAUUUCCCAAAUCUAUCAUUGCGAGUACAAUUGGAUUGUUGCAAUGAUUGCGAUUUUUGUCAUGGAUUGAAAUUGAAGAGAAGAUUAUUGUAACAGAAGUGUUGUUAUGAAUUUCAUUACAUGAUGAUGAUGAUGAUUCUGUGAUUGUGGACCGACCUUUGCCAUGACAGGUGCGCUUGCAUGGCACGUCAAAAAAAUGAAUAAAAAAAAUAUUUUGUUGUUUCUGAGGAAGAUCGCACGGGAAUUGCCCGGGAUCUUCCUCAGGUGUGGUGGUGUGUGUGAUCUUCUUUUUCUUCUUGUUGUGCUUUAAUUUAUCUUUAUUGAUAUACCACGCAUAGCAAAGAAACAAAUGAUAACACUGAUCGCAAAGGAUUUAUCACCAUCACUGAAUUUUCUCCGUUGCUGAUUGAUUAAGGUAUCAUUUA